rnacentral:rRNA from 1 species
AACGAACGCUGGCGGCAGGCCUAACACAUGCAAGUCGAACGCACCGCAAGGUGAGUGGCGCACGGGUGAGUAACACGUGGGAAUGUACCCUUUGGUUCGGAAUAACGUUUGGAAACGAACGCUAAUACCGGAUGAGCCCUGUGGGGGAAAGAUUUAUCGCCAAAGGAGCAGCCCGCGUCUGAUUAGCUAGUUGGUGGGGUAAAGGCCUACCAAGGCGACGAUCAGUAGCUGGUCUGAGAGGAUGAUCAGCCACACUGGGACUGAGACACGGCCCAGACUCCUACGGGAGGCAGCAGUGGGGAA